ensembl:lncRNA
CCAGCGCCACCAGGCGGCCGCGCGGCGUCACUGCAGGCGCAGCCACGUCCCGCCCGCCCCGCGCACCCGCGCCGCGCGCCGCGCGCCGUCGAGGUCCCCGCGUCGCCGCCCUCUGCCUUUCGUAACUCGGCGCGGGGUCUGGGUUUGCAGGGCUUUGAAAACGAGCCCCCGGCGCCUUGCGCCCUCUCUUCCGGCGCUCUGGCCGCAGAUUCGGGUAGCGCCGGCCACCGUGGACCAUUUUUCUUUUUUUCCUGCUUCGCGGCGUUCCAGGAUUUUCUCUUCCGGGUCGCUCUGAGGCACGGUCAGGGGUGCCAGCAUUCCUGGUUUGGCAUUGAACCCUCGGACUCUGCAAACACCUUUGAGGGGAAGCCCCCUUUUGCGCUUGCGCCGCGCCUCCCGCGGCCGGGAGCUAAGUCGGGCUGGCAGGGCCAGGUGGCACAUAAGCUCUGCCUCUGGGUUUCUAUUUGGCGUCAUCCGUGUGCAGAGGCGGCUGAGAUUUCGGCAACACAACAGCCUGGCCUUGACUGCAGCUCCAUCCCCAGCUCGAAUGGAGCUCUUACCCACCCCGACCCCAGCUACAGCAUCUGGUGGAUGGGAGGGGCUGGAAUCAUGCAAACUUGUGCAAGAAAACCAUCAUACAUCACAGCGCGUGUCCUCAUCUUUCAACAAACAUGUAGCAUUCGGAUCCAUAGCCUGGGUCGUGGAAGCUACUCCUUCGGUGACAAUCCCCCUCCUUCUAAAUGUGGUGGAGCUGACAUUGUGAUCUGGGGAGGCAGGUCUUCCUUGAAAACAAACAAACACAGAAACAAAAACUACUGCUUGGUGGCCCUCUUCGUCUGCAUUUUUCCCCCUCCAGAGGUUGCCUAG